ensembl:lncRNA
CGGGGUGAGGCAAGACCGGUUGUGGUAUUGCUAGAAGUUUUCGUUUUGCCAAGGACUAGCACCCAGAUUUCUCUGGCACCCAGGCCCUUUUUUCUUCAGCAUCCCGACCAUUUUAUCAGCAAAGUGAACGCUGGAGCACAGAUGAGGAAGUUGAGGCACCUUCAGACUCCCAAGGGUCCCGGUGGUGGGUGGGCUCUGGGGAGGGGUGGUCCAGAAUGACUGUGUGGACCACCAUGGGCCACUUCCUCCCUCUACACACAGGAGGAAAUCCUUUUGCCCAACUGAAGGUGGAGAGGAAACCCCACAGCAGUGAAUCUGGUUUUUCAAAAACACCGCAAAGGAUGUGGAUGGAAGAGGGCGAGGCCCCCCUCUGGUUCUGGCUCCAGGCGAGGCUUACUGUCGGGGGUCCCCACCCUGAACCCCUGCCUCUUCACCAGCUAUCCUAAGGAAGGGUCGCUGUGGAGUUCGGGAGGCGGAAGGGUCAUGCCUGCGGGUGGGACUCCAGGCACCGAGGAAGGUGGAAGAGAAUAGUGUCUACCACUCUUUUGCAUCUUAAAAAUUCUGUUUCCCAUCAAAUUCUCACAGUCCAGUCUCUGGAAUUAGAGAUAAUUUCAAGUCACAGGUCCCCACUCAGCCCUGGUGUAACCUUGGCAGGCGUGGAUGGAUCUCACUUCAUCUGCAAAAAGUGGGUAACACCGACCCUGUGUGUUGUGGGAAAGACAAAAAAAUAAUGUACGGAAGAUAAGAAGCACACCCAUGAUAGCUAUAUUACGGAUAAUCAAGAAAAUGGGGGAGAUUGGAUUUCUCAAGCAUGGGCAGCUGGUAAAUAAUGGUGACACCAAGACCCCGUCCUCAACCCAAGCCUUCAACUUCUCAACCAAAGGCCCUUCACUCCCCCCAGAACAUUCUAUGGCCAUACGCCGGCCCUCCCAGGCAAAGCUUCCCCACCCGGUUCACACAGAGAGCAGCAGGGGCCGCUUCUGACUCGGCCCCCACCGAGGGGGAAGCCCGCACGCUGCACAGCUGCACACAUCUGGAACCUCGCCGGCUGGAGCCCCGAGGGGCGCGCAGGGCUCUCCAGAACCUGUGCGCCCGAAGAUACCAGAGCGGCCACAGGCCUCUCCGCCCUGCCGCGGCCCUUCGGCUCCCGCCCGCGCGCCCAGGAGCACUGAGCCCAAGCUCAGGGUGGACCCCUGGGCGCCAGGCACGGGCUCGGUGGGGCAGCCCCCUGCGCGCGUCCCUGUAGGGAGCGGCGGCGCGCGCAGGGAGCCCCCGGCGCGCACACGCCCGCAAACCCGUAAGCCCAGCCCCAGGGUUUUGCACCCGUGGACGAUCGGCGCGAGGAUCGGGCAACCGUAUGUAGCCCACCGGACAGGCCAUUUCACAGACGGGAGAGCACACAGCGGGGAAAGGCCUGAGGUUCUGGGCCCCUGUCCCCAGCUAGACUCUAACAAACAGGUGACCAGAUACAACAAAGUUACUCCUUGGAGCUCUUCUUCAAGUCCACUUCGUCCUUUCCACUGUAGGCGGAGAGAGAAUUCUCAAGUCUUCAGUAACAGCACGUCACCGCUCUUAGAAUCCAGUCCAAAGCCUUGAAUAAGACUUACAAGUGGUCAUGUAUGGAUGUGAGAGUUGGACCAUAAAGAAAGCUGAGCACCAAAGAAUAGAUGCUUUAGAGUAGGUGUUGGAGAAGACUCUUGAGAGUCCCUUGGACUGCAAGGAGGUCCAACCAGUCCAUCCUAAAGGAAAUCAGUCCUGAAUAUUCACUGGAAGGAUUGAUGCUGAAGCUGAAACUCCAAUACUCUGGCCUCCUGAUGCGAAGAACUGACUCACUGGGAAAGACCCUGAUUCUGGGAAAGAUUGAAGCUUUAUUGAGAUAUAAUUGAAAUACAAAAACCUGCACAUAUUUGACGUAUUCAAUUUGUUGAGUUUUUACAUACGUUAUAUAUACCUGUGAUACCAUCACCACAUUCAAGGUAAUAAACAUGUCUGUCGCCUCCGGAAGUUUCUUUCUGUCCCGUGUGUGUGUGUGUGUGUGUGUGUGUGUGUGUGUAUGUGUGUGUGUGUGUGAACACUUAACAUGAGAUCUUCCUUUUAACAAAAUUUUAAGUGCACAAUACCAUAUUAUUAGCUACAGGUAUGUUGUAUAGCGUAUUUCUACAACUUGGCUGUCUUCUAUGACUAUAAAUUUAUACAAGUUGAGUAGCAACUGCCCACUUUUCUCUCCCUCCACUCACUGGCAACCAACAUUCUAUUUUCUACUUCUGUAAGUUUGAUUAGUUUAGAUAACUCAUUUAAGUAGAAUCAUGCAGUAUUUGCCCUUCUAUGACUCACUUACUUAGCAUGGUGUCUUCCAGAUCCAUCCAUGUCAUCCCAAAUUCUUAAGACUUUUAAUAAGAUUUGAGCUUGUCAUUUUGGCCAGAUACAAAAUUGCUUUCAUUUUCACAUUUUUAG